CCUGAAUGUCAACAGACCCUGAAACAAAGAAGUAUGGUUUGACCAUUUGUUACCUGGAUGUGCUUUCCUAGAUAUAAGGAGAUGGAAUGUAGGUGAGCUAAGGAACAAUUAAUAGAUGGACACUUCCCUUUCAAAUCAAGGGGUCAAAAUAGAAGAGUUAAAAUUAAUACUAAAAGCUGUUAGAGAACAAUGUCAAACCACAUGAAAAGACCCAAGCAAUAGAAUUCUACCAGGUGUCCAGUCAAUGAUCCCAAAACCAGGAAGGAGAGCAUGGAAAGACAUUUGAAGCUUGAAGAGAAAAUCACCAUCAAGUAUCCAGUAGCACAAAGUAAACGACUCUCUUAAAAUUGAUGGGGACAUAAGUGCAUUUCAAGAUAGUCACCAAUUAACACAAUUGAUUUCACUAAAGCAGCACUCGGGUAAUAAAUCAGAGGCAAAACAUACACAGGAGUGACAGAGAAUCAUCCAUGAGAACAUGGGAAAUAAUAAAUUUCAUGUAAAGAAGAGAGAAAUACAGGAGAACUGGAGAGUAAUCAUCAAUGGGCAAGACAACAAACUACUAUUUCUCAAAAAGAAGGAAGAAUACUACCAAUAAGCCAACCAGCAACAACAUAAACAAAACCAUAGGAAAUAAAAAUGCCAUAAACAAAAAAACUCGCCAUACUGAAAAUCAAACUAGACAAUCCUCAAGUAAACAAACCCUGAAGUUAAAUAAAUUCAGCACAUGACCCAGCUGUUCCAUUCCUUUGUACAAGCUCAAAGACUUGACAUCCUGCUCCACAGACACUUCCUCACCCAUGUUCAUUGCUGCUCUACUUACAAUAUCUACAAAAUGGAAACAACCUAAAUGUCCUUCAACUGACAAAUAGAUAAGUGAAAGUGUGGCACAUAUACGCUGUGGAAUACUCUUCAGCUGUAAAGAAAAUUAAAAUCCUGAGCUCUGCAGGUAAAUAGAUUGACUUACGAAAGAUCAUAUUGAGUGAGGUAACCUGGCCCCAGAAAGAAACAAUGCAUGAUCUCUAUCAGAGAAGUUCCCAGCUACAAAUCUUCAGAUGUGCGUACGCAACUUGGAGUGACUGUAGUAACCAGAAAAGUGAAAAGAGAUCACUGUUGGGUGUGGGUGAGUAAUAGAGAUGGAGUAACAGGGACCAAGUGAUCUGAAGGAGGAAAUGGAAAAACAAGGUUGAGGAUUUAACUAGGCAGAAGGGAUAGAUAUGAACACAGAAGAAGGAAGAUAAAAUAACAGUAAGGAUGUCUGGAAAAUUCAUAAGGAAUCCAUCUAUUCCUUGAUUCUUAUCCAUCCAUCAAAAAAUGCCUAUAAUACAUCUGUCUCUGUAAGAGACACUUUUAAGUAUAAACGAAAAUCUCCCAAAUGAACUGAUGAUUCUCCUCAGAAGAGCCAUAGAAUUUCUAACAAAAUGACCAACACCAGGUGUAAGAAGCCUGCUUUGAAGUUGUUGGUCACACUUGUCCAAGAGACUUCCAAAUAUUACAAAGUAUUGCUGUUGCCCAUGGUUUCCUCCUAGAAGUAGUUGAGUCCCUAAUGUUGAAGAAGCCACAUAUUACAGACACAAAUCCAAGAGAACUCCAGCUGGACAUGACCUCAACGCCUCCUCCCUGGGGACUAGCUUUCAUGGUAUCAGAAGGCAACAUGCAACUUUCCAAAGGUGGGAGCCAGUCAACAGUCCUGCCCAGCUAUGAUGCCUAUGAACCACAACAAUGAUCUGCACUGCAUGAUAGCCCUAACGGUGUAAGAGUGGUACACAGACCUUGGUGGUAAUCAACAGCUUCUAAUUGGAUUAAGACCCUCUCAACCAGAGAGAAAUCAUGGCUGGUACUGGAAACCUAGCCUAUUUCCCCAGGGCUAGUAAAGGCAUGGAUCUUGGAGGAGAAACUACAACCAGUACUUUACUAAAUCAGCAUAAGUCCCUACUGCAUUCUAAAUAUUGAUCCUUAUUGCCAACAGACAAUACAAGACAGUAUAGAUGGAGUUUAGCAGGCUGUAAAUAUACUUGCUGAUUCUUAUCAAAACACUGUUGGCAUUAUUUUCAGGAAUGGAGACAUUAACCUAAAAAGAUAGAGAAUGUGCUAGAAUACCAAAAGCUCAAAAACUCUGAAUAUAAUAACCAACCGUAAAGGUAUUAAUUUUCAUUACUUUUAUAAUAUAUUAAAAUCAAAGAAAUAAAAAUGAUUUAAUAAUGGCAUGAAAACAUGAUCAGUGAUGUGAAUGAGUAAGGACAGCGUCACUCACAUGCAUAGUCAAAUAAAAUUGUAUUUGACUCCAUUAUCAAUUCUUCUGUAGAAAGUCUGCUCAUUAGGAUAAUCCUGAGGAGAUUUUUCUCAGUGGGAGUCUCCAGAAUUAUUUCUAGUGAAACAGAAUGUAGCAAAACUGAUUUUAUAUCCCACUUCCACAUUCACUUGAUCCCCUUUCCACUCCUUCACCAUCGUCUCCACCAUACCUGGAUUCUUAGCUACUGUCUCCUCUCUCCUUCCAGGCCACUUUGUUCUGCAGCACAGGUGAGCAGGUCAUGUGAUCAGUGAGCCCUGCACAUGGGAAAGAGAUUGUUCAGGAAGCACCUGGAUUUCUAACACAGGACUGUGCUCAGGAGAUGAAGAAAAAACUAAAAACAGGAUUAUAGAAAUGAUUCCCCAACUGUCCUGCAGGGUCAGAAUACAGAAAACAAUUAGAAAGCAUUUUUAGUUAUAGUAACUUGAAUCCCACUUCCAGUCACAGCUCGGUUAAAACUCGGGCAGAAAUCGUACUGAAUGAUUUGGGGAGAGAAUAUUAUAUACUAGUGAGGUUCUGUAUUGAUCAUGGACCAAUAGUGAUGAAGCCUUACACCUCCCAAAGGGACACACACAAAGAAGAGAGAACAUUUCAUGGAAAUUUUCUUUUUUCCUUUGAGGAUUUCACUUUAUUCUAUGGGAUGUGAGACUCAUCCACACAAAGCUCACACACUGGCAGAUUAAUUUGUCAAGAGAUACUGAGGGAGACUGCAAGCAAAUAAUUCUCAGCCACAGAAACCAUUCUGCUGCAAUUCUGCAACAUCCAGUGCUAGUACAAAGCCUUCAGGGCAGGAUCCAGGCAUUGCCCCUCCUCCCGGGAGAAGUCUACAGUCACACCACUGGCUGUCCACAGAGCACAAAGGAAAAAAAAAAGUUUGAAUCAUCCUGUUGGUGCACACCUUUAAUCCUAGCAUUUGAGAGAAACAGGUGGGUGGAAUUCUGUGUUUUACAGUCCAGCCUGGUCUACAUGGUGAGUUCUGGGCUAGACAGAGUAACACUGUGAGUUCAGGUCUCAAACACAGAAAACACAAGAACCAAAAAAAAAAAAAAAAAAAAAAAAAAUCACAGUUUGGUCAUGUGUCCAUGGACAGAGUGUUUUUCUUGGACUAAGGAGACAAAAGACUAUUGUAGACAUUUUUUCUGAUAUAGAUGACUUAUUGUAAUUAUUCAAAGGGUGUUUUCUAAUAUAAUUCUACAUUAUAAUGCAUUCAAAUAUCUUUUUGUUGUUGUUUUAUAUUUUCCCCUGAAACAGGCUUUUUCUGUGUAGUGCUGGCUGUUCCUGAAGUCACUAUGUAUACAUUGCCAGCCUCCAACAGACUGCAUCCACCUGCCUCUGCCUUCUGAGGAUUAAAGGCAUGGGCGACCAGGUCUGGCAAAGACACUUUUCAGAAUGCUGUAUUUACAACCCAGUGUGCAUAUGUCUCAGAUGGAAAAUUAAUGGUAGAUAAAAGUUUACUUUUGAAAGUUAAUGCUUACAAGUAUAUUGUGGAACUCGCAAAAAAAAUGUACUUUCAGAUUCAAUGAAA